CGUAGACUAAUUAAUUAAAUUUCGGUUUGAUAGCAGUACUUUAAACGUGAUAAUUGGCUAACCUGUCGGUGAUGAUGCCAAAGGUUUACGUUUGUAAUACAUUUUUAAAAAUCUGUGCUUUUUAAAGUUUUGACCCACGUUUUAGUUUCCUUUUUAAAUUGCCACUAAUAAAGCCAGCAUUUGUGUAUUUGGAGGGCGAUCAAGAUAACGAUUUUAAAUAGCCUUAUUAUAUCAUAAUUAUUAAAUAUCCCCUCGUGGCGAAUGUCUAGUCAAUUAAACUUUGACAUUUUGACAUUUUGACACUUUGACGUUUCCUGAUGUCAUUACUUUGCGACACCGUCAACUUGCUGCUCUUGCCCAUGUGGACCAGAUGUGGACGCCUCUCCCUAUCCUGUGGUCAUACAAAGCAUCUGAGAUUUUCCUCGUAUCUAUCUUUUCACCAGUAUUCUGCAUUAGCUAUUUGUCCAGAGAGAAAGUAGGUGAAUGUUGAUUAUUUGUUUGGUACCUAUUCCCCCAAGAGGGGUGCCAGUGUCCUGAUGCUGACCAGUAGCACCGGUUCCGCCACUUGCUUCCCGCUGGAGUCUUGGCACCAACUGGAUGAGGGGACUCCUCUCCGUUUUGAAUUCCUGGCUCUCCAUGGCUUUGAAUUAAUAUGAUGUGGGGUCCUCAAAUGCUGCCAGAACUUGAAGGCCCAUUGCAUCUUGAGGCCUUUUGGACAGAGGAGAGGAGGACCGAGCUGGUUAACCUCUACACAAAUAGAUGCACGUCAAGUGAUGCUUGGGGGAGUGAGACCGCCGGUAUACCCACCUACAGUAUAUUGAUCCCGACAUCAGUGCCACAUAUUUCUUGAUGGCAAUUGGUCGACUUGUAAAAAAAAGCAUGGAAAAGGUCCAGGACGUAAGGCUUUUACAGCUGAAACGCAGAGACAGCUUGUGCAGUCCUACAAUGCACAUGUCAAUGAUCAGCUGUUUGUUGAGGCAGCAGCAGCAGAUGCAGCACCAACACCACCACCAGCAGCAGCGGCAGGAGCAGCACCACCAGCACCACCAGCACUAUAAACGCCAGCAGCGGCAGGAGCAGCACCACCAGCACUAUAAACGCCAGCAGCGGCAGUGGCAGAUUAUAAAGAAGGAUAACAAUUAAUACAUGAAAUUAGAGUGGGAAGUUGUGCUUUUAUGUUUCAUGUUUAUGGUUUUAUAUAUAUAUGCACCUUACUUGAGCGUCUCUACAAAUUCAUUAUACUGCAAUGCAAUUACAAUAAAGGCAUUCAUUUGUCA